CUAUGUGUUGUUUGUAAUAAUUUACAAAAUUUAAUUAUAUUUACUCUGCUACAAUAACAGUUAUCUAAAAACAGUUUUCUUGAGUCGUCUAGGGAUUUACAAUUCAAAAGAAAGUGAAAUUCAUCACCUAAUUCUUGACAUUGACAUAAAUUACAAUAUCUCAUUUCUCUAUCUAAACCUAUCCAUCUUCCAGUUUCAAUUGGUAAUCUAUGAUUCCCAGUCCUAAAUCUACAAAAUGUAAC
rnacentral:lncRNA from 1 species